UACGUAGGUGGCGAACGUUAUCCGGAAUCACUGGGCGUAAAGGGUCCGUAGGCGGCUGGCCAAGUCGGCCGUGACAGCGCGCGGCUCACCCGCGUGAGGUCGGUCGAAACUGGCGAGCUAGAAUCGGUAGGAGGUCGGCGGAAUUCCCGGUGUAGUGGUGGAAUGCGUAGAGAUCGGGAGGAACCUCAACGGCGCAGGCAGCCGGCUAAUACCAGAUUGACGCUGAGGGACGAAAGCGUGGGGAGCGAACAGG
rnacentral:misc_RNA from 1 species